UACAGCCAUAUCACAUUGAAACACCGGUUCCCGUAUGAUCACUGAAGUUAAGCAACAUCAUUACCUAGAUGGGUGACCAUUUGGGAAUAACAGGUGCUGUAAG